AAUAAACGCAGACAUGAGUUUUCGUGUCCAACUUUAAUCGUUCGUCUUAUUUGAAUUUUUUAUUAUUAGUAUUUUUAUUGUUAUUAGAUUAUAAAACAUGAAUAAUAAUUUAUGUGUGACUUAAUUUUUUAAUUCUUUUUUAAAAAAUUAAAUAAGACGAAUGAUUAAAGUUAGACACGGAAACUCAUGGUUGCGCUUAUU
rfam:Oryza sativa (indica cultivar-group) chromosome 8, whole genome shotgun sequence.